rnacentral:tRNA from 1 species
GCCUGGGUGGCUCAGUCAGGUAAGCGCCUGACUUCGGCUCAGGUCAUGAUCUCGCGGUUCGUGGGUUCGAGCCCUGCAUCAGGCU